GAUGAACGCUGGCGGCGUGCCUAAUACAUGCCAGUCGAGCGAACGGACGAGAAGCUUGCUUCUCUGAUGUUAGCGGCGGACGGGUGAGUAACACGUGGAUAACCUACCUAUAAGACUGGGAUAACUUCGGGAAACCGGAGCUAAUACCGGAUGAUAUUUUGAACCGCAUGGUUCAAAAGUGAAGACGGUCUUGUUGUCACUUAUAGAUGGAUCCGCGCUGCAUUAGCUAGUUGGUAAGGUAACGGCUUACCAAGGCAACGAUGCAUAGCCGACCUGAGAGGGUGAUCGGCCACACGGGAACUGAGACACGGUCCAGACUCCUACAGGAGGCAGCAGUAGGGAAUCUUCCGCGAUGGGCGAGAGCCUGACGGAGCAACGCCGCGUGAGUGAUGAAGGUCUUCGGAUCGUAAAACUCUGUUAUUAGGGAAGAACAUAUGUGUAAGUAACUGUGCACAUCUUGACGGUACCUAAUCAGAAAGCCACGGCUAACUACGUG
rnacentral:rRNA from 1 species